UACGAAGGGGGCUAGCGUUGUUCGGAAUUACUGGGUGUAAAGCGUGCGCAGGCGGCUUCUCAAGUCAGGGGUGAAAGCCCAGAGCUCAACUCUGGAAUUGCCUUUGAGACUGAGUGGCUUGAGUACGAGAGAGGUGAGUGGAAUUCCCAGUGUAGAGGUGAAAUUCGUAGAUAUUGGGAAGAACACCGGUGGCGAAGGCGGCUCACUGGCUCGUAACUGACGCUCAUGCACGACAGCGUGGGUAUCAAACAGG
rnacentral:rRNA from 1 species